UGGGGAAUAUUGGACAAUGGGCGCAAGCCUGAACCAGCCAUGCCGCGUGGGUGAUGAAGGCCUUAGGGUUGUAAAGCCCUUUCGGCGGGGAAGAUAAUGACGGUACCCGCAGAAGAAGCCCCGGCUAACUUCGUGCCAGCAGCCGCGGUAAUACGAAGGGGGCUAGCGUUGCUCGGAAUUACUGGGCGUAAAGCGCACGUAGGCGGCUUGUUAAGUCGGGGGUGAAAUCCCGGAGCUCAACUCCGGAACUGCCUUCGAUACUGGCAAGCUCGAGUCCGGGAGAGGUGAGUGGAACUGCGAGUGUAGAGGUGAAAUUCGUAGAUAUUCGCAAGAACACCAGUGGCGAAGGCGGCUCACUGGCCCGGUACUGACGCUGAGGUGCGAAAGCGUGGGGAGCAAACA
rnacentral:rRNA from 1 species